rnacentral:tRNA from 1 species
UCCCUGGUGGUCCAAUGGUUAAGACUUUGCCUUCUAAUGCAAAGGGUGUGGGUUUGAUCCCUGGUCAGGGAG